AGUUUACGUGCCUUUUGGCGGUGCCGAGAGAGAAUUGUGGAAAGAGCGGACGGAGCUGGUUGCGACGGCACAGGCAAAGGCGAAGGCGGAGCUGCGGGAUCGGGAAGGAGGAGAGAGGCUUGAGCAACAGGCUUUGCCACGAACAGAAGACCCAAGAAGAGGAAGAAGAAGCAGGAGAAGCAGAAGAAGAAGAAGCAGGCGCAGGCGAGGCGGCAGAACAACAACUGAGCUGCCUGGCAAUAUUAUCCGGAUGUUAAGCUUCCGCUGCGCUGGCCGCAACUCUGUGUCGUAUUUGCGCUUUUUACGGUUGUUAACUUCGCCAUUGUGAGCCCACCGUAACGAAUCUAAUAUGCUCUGCACCGAAAACGGCUAUUGCAAUAGAAUUCCACCCGUACAGCGACUUGAGCGGACAUGUCACGCGCUUUAGCGUGCGAAAAACACACACACACAUUCGUAUGCACAAUGUACGUGGACAGACAUGCGGCCAAUAAAUGGGAAUCCAACACCGUAAUUGGCCAUUUUCAAGAACGCCUUGCAAAGAAAACUGGGGAAAAGAUACAGACAUACCUAAG
rnacentral:lncRNA from 1 species